GAUGAACGCUGGCGGCAUGCCUAAUACAUGCAAGUCGGACGGGCAGUGUUGUUUCUAGUGGCGGACGGGUGAGUAACGCGUAAGCACAUGCGCUAGGGAGGGGAACAACAGCUGGCAAGGACCGCUAAUACACCGUAGGCUGCGGAGCAUAAGGCGGCAUACACCUGAUGAUGGGCUCGAGUCUGAUUAGCUAGUUGGUGUGUCAAUAGCUGACCUGGGCGAGGAUUAGAAGCUGGUCCGAGAGGAUGAACGGCCAGACUGGGACGGAGAGACGGCCCAGAGUCUUAUGGGAGACAGCAGAAGGGAAGAUCCAGCAAUGGGGGAAAGCUUGACGAGGCUAUGCCGCGUGGAGGUAGAAGUGUAAGAGGUCGAGGACUUCGAGUCCCGAAGGUGAAGCAAUGGCGGUUUCUUGACAAGAAACGGAGGCUAAACCUGUG
rnacentral:rRNA from 1 species